GCCCCUUUAAAAAAGCGGCUUUACCCGUAAAGGGGUCUUUGCAGCAAGCCCGCGACCCGGGUUCAAAUCCCGGCCGGGGCG
rnacentral:tRNA from 1 species